GAUGAACGCUGGCGGCGUGCCUAAUACAUGCAAGUCGAGCGAACAGACGAGGAGCUUGCUCCUCUGACGUUAGCGGCGGACGGGUGAGUAACACGUGGAUAACCUACCUAUAAGACUGGGAUAACUUCGGGAAACCGGAGCUAAUACCGGAUAAUAUAUUGAACCGCAUGGUUCAAUAGUGAAAGACGGUUUUGCUGUCACUUAUAGAUGGAUCCGCGCCGCAUUAGCUAGUUGGUAAGGUAACGGCUUACCAAGGCGACGAUGCGUAGCCGACCUGAGAGGGGGAUCGGCCACACUGGAACUGAGACACGGUCCAGACUCCUACGGGAGGCAGCAGUAGGGAAUCUUCCGCAUGGGCGAAAGCCUGACGGAGCAACGCCGCGUGAGUGAUGAAGGUCUUCGGAUCGUAAAACUCUGUUAUUAGGGAAGAACAAAUGUGUAAGUAACUAUGCACGUCUUGACGGUACCUAAUCAGAAAGCCACGGCUAACUACGUG
rnacentral:rRNA from 1 species